CCUACGGGAGGCAGCAGUAAGGAAUAUUGGUCAAUGGAGGCAACUCUGAACCAGCCAUGCCGCGUGCAGGAAGACUGCCCUAUGGGUUGUAAACUGCUUUUAUACGGGAAUAAACCUUGAUUCGUGAAUCGAGCUGAAUGUACCGUAAGAAUAAGGAUCGGCUAACUCCGUGCCAGCAGCCGCGGUAAUACGGAGGAUCCAAGCGUUAUCCGGAUUUAUUGGGUUUAAAGGGAGCGUAGGCGGCCUAUUAAGUCAGGGGUGAAAGACGGUGGCUCAACCAUCGCAGUGCCUUUGAUACUGGUAGGCUUGAAUGUAGUUGAGGUAGGCGGAAUGUGACAAGUAGCGGUGAAAUGCAUAGAUAUGUCACAGAACACCGAUUGCGAAGGCAGCUUACUAAGCUAUGAUUGACGCUGAGGCUCGAAAGCGUGGGGAUCAAACAGGAUUAGAUACCCUGGUAGUCCACGCCCUAAACGAUGAUAACUCGAUGUUGGCGAUAUACAGUCAGCGUCCAAGCGAAAGCGUAAGUUAUCCACCUGGGGAGUACGCCCGCAAGGUGAAACGUUAAAUGAAUUGACCGGNGNGAGAGNGCGAGGACGACGACGAGGGAGGAGG
rnacentral:rRNA from 1 species